AGCAGUUGCCCUACUGAAUUAAUGUGAUAAGGAGAAAAAAAAAGGGAUUGAUGGUUAAGAGAAUGAGUGAACACAGAACAUCUCAGGAUGGGGCAAUAUUUGGUGAGAACCAUAUUGGAUUCUACCAAAUUACAAAUAUGUUCCAGGAUGGCCUGAUCACUCACUCACUACUCCCUGCAACUCCAUGGAGAAGAUAUAAGCUGUCAAAAAUGUAUUUGUGAGUCUGAUGAGCUCUUUCACCCAGGUGACAGGGGUUUCUGCCAUACUAAUAUUCUUCUUCUUCUUCACCUUUUGUGUUUCAGUGCUGGGCCUGGAGAAGGCAGGGACCUUGGCUCUUCCAUGGUGGCUGUUCAUCAGCACUCACACAUCCACUACACCGGUUUAGUCGCAUGCUGGAAGGUUGUGCUUGGAAUUUGCCAUCAGCAAUGCCGAGGCCUGGCCUUGGUGGAAAUGCAGGUGCUGCUUAUCUUUUCUUCCAAAACAUAGUACAAACCCAGUCAUCCUGUCAUGCACCUGAGACAUUCUUUCUUAUUAGCAAGCUUGGAGCAGCAGUGGAGUGUUGAAAUAAUUUCUCUCAAACCUG
rnacentral:lncRNA from 1 species